AAGUCGUAACAAGGUUUCCGUAGGUGAACCUGCGGAAGGAUCAUUAUUGAAUGAACUUGGUGUGGUUGUUGCUGGCCCUUUCGGGGGCAUGUGCACACCCAUCAUCCUCAUCUCUCCACCUGUGCACCUCUUGUAGACUUGGAUUGACUUUCCGAGGCAACUCGGUCGGGAGGACUUGCUGGCAUUAGCUGGCUUUCCUUGCAUUUCCAAGUCUACGUUUUUCAUAUACCCCAUUGAAUGUAACAGAAUGUAACAUUGGGCCUUUGUGCCUAUAAAAACUUAUACAACUUUCAGCAACGG
rnacentral:misc_RNA from 1 species